rnacentral:lncRNA from 1 species
GGAUAUUUUUCAGAUAAUUGCACUUGGGAGAUCAUUGAACUUUUUGAUUGUGUGAUUUAGUGUUUCUCUUUAAAAUGAAAUUUGAGAGCAAGAAUAUGGAGUUGGGGAUAUCCUACUCAUCUCCUUCCAAAGAAACAAGCAUUUGGCAGCCUUUCACAGAAAAAAAGCACAGUUGUGAGUGCACUGGAAUUCAGGUCAGAGGUAGCAAACCUCAGGAUAGCCCAAGAAUGAAGACGGCUGCUUUAAAUACUUAUUAUAUUGGGUAAUGACAGAAGAAAGCCACUGUACUAGAAAGGGCGUAGCCCAGACUUGCUGUAAGAGGGUGAUUUAUGCACCAGACCAUAGGCUGACACUGAUGACCAAGGACACCUGGGGCUGAGCUGUACACCCAGGGAAGCAGGUAAGUGUCAGGGAAGGGUGUGUGUGAGAACACCAAGCUGGUUGUGCCCACAGGGAGGGGGACUUGCUAAUACAUUGUCAGGAACAUCACAAAGUGAGGUUGUACUUUUAUUUCUUUUGCAAUUACGUAUUGAGUGUGCACAGUACUGUAGGGGCUGGGAGGGGAUAAAAGAGCUGAAUGGCUUUCUCUAGAAUGGUGGCCUGUCUCCUGAGUAGUAACUUGCUGACCCUGCCCCUGAAGUGAAAAAGAGGGUGAAGGGCUACUUGCUCAAGCUUGUUCUCUUUUCUUACCUCUUCCCCCUCUGUGGUUUCCUCUGCCGCUGAACAGGGCCCAGGCAGCCUGCCAUGAGAUCGUGCUCCAAGGACCGGCCGUUCUGCUGGACCCACGGGCUCCUGGUAUUCAUCAGCCUGCUCCUCAGUGUCUGCAGCUCUGCAGCCAACACUUCCGGAGCGCAUGGCUCUGCUGUGAAGGAUUCUGAAAACCACAUUUAUCUGAAGCGCAUCCGAGGAGGUUCUGUCUUGUUUAAUGUGACCGAGAAGCCCAUGGCAGAUGCAGGAGCCAAAAUACAGGAGGUUUUAUGGGGUUUGGGCACUCCGUCAAAGUACAUGCGGCUGCUGCAAGUCCGUAGAGGAGCCGACUCUCCCACCUGGUUUAACCUCCAGGACAAGUUCAAGCAGAGGGUCCAUGUGCCCAGCCUGUGGUCUCUGAGGAUUGAGAACCUGGCCCCUGAAGACAGUGGGCCAUACGUGGCCAUGACCAGCUUAACUGAUGGACAAACGCUUGGUCACGUUUUCUACCUGACUGUCUAUGAGCCUGUGCCUCACCCUGAGAUCCUGGCCAAGUCACUGUCUAUCACACCAGGCCUGUGUAACAUCACUCUGGAGUGUAGGGUUCCAGGGGCCACCCAGGAUCUGAAUGUGACUUGGGAGAGCAAGGGCCUCUUCAGAGAGCUGGAACAGAGAGACACACCAGGAUCAACCGCCAAGCUUUGGACCCUGGCUGUGAGCCUGCCCCUGAGCCAGCAGAUUGGCGAUGUCACCUGUGUGGUCAGCAACCAGGUGGAUCAGAAAGCUGCGACCUUAGACCUUGGAAAAGUCUGUGCCCAAGGAACAAGUACACAAAAACAGGACAUGAUUAGACUGCUGCCAGGCAUCCUAGCAGCUGCUGUGGGUGUCCCGUUGGUCCUGGGAACUGGGUUGUUCCUUUUGAAGACAUGUCAGAAGAAGAAGAAGACAACAAUGGAAAUAAAAAGGGGUGGAGGAUUGCAGAAGAACCAUGGGGUUGAUGAUGGUGGCAUCCCCUUUGAGACGCUCAGCCAGCAAGUGCAAGGUGAGGGCAAGGACAAGGUGAGUGCCAGGGCACUGGCCACCCUGGGAACUCCCACGUCUCUCUGCCCAGCCUUGGGCUUCCAAUUCCAGGAGCUGUCACUUCUGGUCCAACUGCCUAUUUAUCUAUAUCUGGAUAAUCAACAGUAUUGA